AACAAACGCUGGCGGCGUGCCUAACACAUGCAAGUCGUACGAGAAAGGGUCCUUCGGGGCCUGAGUAAAGCGGCGCACGGGUGAGUAACGCGUGGAGAAUCUGCCCUUCAGUUGGGAAUAACUCAUCGAAAGGUGGGCUAAUACCUAAUAAUGCUGUGAGACCUCGGUUGAUCAGCCAAAGAGAGCCUCUGCUUGCAAGCCCUCGCUGAAGGACGCGUACCCGUACCAGUAGCUAGUUGGUAGGGUAAUGGCCUACCAAGGCGACGAUGGUUGGCUGGUCUGAGAGGAUGAUCAGCCACACUGGAACUGAGACACGGUCCAGACUCCUACGGGAGGCAGCAGUGAGGAAUCUUGCGCAAUGGGGGCAACCCUGACGCAGCAACGCCGCGUGAGUGAGGAAGGUCUUCGGAUCGUAAAGCUCUGUCGGAUGGAAAGAACCGCAUAGGGGUAAACAGCCCCUGUGUCUGACGGUACCAUCAAAGGAAGCACCGGCUAACUCCGUGCCAGCCGCCGCGGUAAAAC
rnacentral:rRNA from 1 species